CCGAUUUGGAGUUUGUUGCCUAGAGUGAUGGGCUCCGAAGCUAACGCGAUAAAUCGACCGCCUGGGGAGUACGGCCGCAAGGUUAAAACUCAAAUGAAUUGACGGGGGCCCGCACAAGCGGUGGAGCAUGUGGUUUAAUUCGAUGCAACGCGAAGAACCUUACCUGGUCUUGACAUCCACAGAAUCUUUCAGAGAUGAGAGAGUGCCUUCGGGAACUGUGAGACAGGUGCUGCAUGGCUGUCGUCAGCUCGUGUUGUGAAAUGUUGGGUUAAGUCCCGCAACGAGCGCAACCCUUAUCCUUUGUUGCCAGCGAUUAGGUCGGGAACUCAAAGGAGACUGCCGUUGAUAAAACGGAGGAAGGUGGGGACGACGUCAAGUCAUCAUGGCCCUUACGACCAGGGCUACACACGUGCUACAAUGGCGUAUACAAAGGGAAGCGAAGGUGCGAGCUGGAGCGGACCUCCUAAAGUACGUCUAAGUCCGGAUUGGAGUCUGCAACUCGACUCCAUGAAGUCGGAAUCGCUAGUAAUCGUGAAUCAGAAUGUCACGGUGAAUACGUUCCCGGGCCU
rnacentral:rRNA from 1 species